rfam:Candidatus Adlerbacteria bacterium RIFCSPLOWO2_01_FTLL_51_16 rifcsplowo2_01_scaffold_21825, whole genome shotgun sequence.
UCUGGUGGUUUAACGGCGGGGUCACACCCGUUCUCAUUCCGAACACGGAAGUUAAGCUCGCUAGUGGCGAUGGUAGUCUCUGUUACAGGAGGCGAGAGUAGCUAACCGCCAGAA